rnacentral:rRNA from 1 species
AUUGAACGCUGGCGGCAGGCCUAACACAUGCAAGUCGAACGAGUGGCGGACGGGUGAGUAAUGUCUGGGAAACUGCCCGAUGGAGGGGGAUAACUACUGGAAACGGUAGCUAAUACCGCAUACCAUCGGAUGUGCCCAGAUGGGAUUAGCUAGUAGGUGGGGUAACGGCUCACCUAGGCGACGCUCCCUAGCUGGUCUGAGAGGAUAACCAGCGUCACUGGAACUGAAACGAGGUCCAGACUCCGACGGGGAGCAGGAGUGGGGAAUAUUGCACAAUGGGCGCAAGCCUGAUGCAUCCACGCCGCGUGUAUGGAGGAGGCCUUCGGGUUGUAAAGUACUUUCAGCAGGGGGGCGUUACUCGCAGGAGAAGCACCGGCUAACUCCGUACCAACAGCCGCGGGAAUAC